CUUGCAUACCUAUAAGAGGUCCAGCCUGCCCAGUGACUCUGUUCAACGGCCGCGGUAUCCUAACCGUGCGAAGGUAGCGUAAUCACUUGUUCUUUAAAUGAGGACUAGUAUGAAUGGCAUCACGAAGGUUAUACUGUCUCCUCUUUCCAAUCAGUGAAACUAAUCUCCCCGUGAAGAAGCGGGGAUAACUCUAUAAGACGAGAAGACCCUAUGGAGCUUUAAACUAAGAAUCAACUGACUUCCCACUUUUAAAUUCCAGAAAACUAACUUUUACCAAGACACUCUGAUUUCUAGUUUUAGGUUGGGGUGACCACGGAGUAAAAACUAACCUCCGCAAUGAACGGGGAUCUUCCCUUAACCAAGGACCACAACCCUAAGAAUCAACACAUUGACAUCAAUUGACCCAAAAAUUUGAUCAAUGAAC
rnacentral:rRNA from 1 species